UACGGGGGGGGGCAAGCGUUGUUCGGAAUUACUGGGCGUAAAGGGCUCGUAGGUGGCCAACUAAGUCAGACGUGAAAUCCCUCGGCUUAACCGGGGAACUGCGUCUGAUACUGGCAAGCUUGAGUGCAGGAGAGGAACGCGGAAUUCCAGGUGUAGCGGUGAAAUGCGUAGAUAUCUGGAGGAACACCGGUGGCGAAGGCGGCAUCCUGGACCAAUAUUGACGCUGAGGAGCGAAAGCCAGGGGAGCAAACGGG
rnacentral:rRNA from 1 species